GGGGGAGCGAGACCAGCCCCCCGGCCCGGGGUCCCCCAAUCCCACCCACCUCCAACUCCACGCUAGAAGACACGGUUUAUUGAACACCUCUCUCAUUCAUUAAUUGAAAAACUCAACAAUGGCUGCUUACCAGAGUACCCAAAGUCAAACAGUACCAGACCCAUAAGAGGCGUCCAAUAUUUGCCGAAUGGAGCUCACAAUUGUGUUUACAUGUGAGAAAUUGGUGAAGAAACAAGAUCAAGUCAGCACAGUCCUGCUGACAAAACUGGUUCAGGCCAAAUGGGCCGAACCAUGAGGAAUAUAAUUUAUUUUACUUUGACAAGCUUGAGCUUGAGGACUUAAACUUUUUUAAAAAAUAUUUUUUAAUUGAUUUUUCUAGAGAGACAGCUGACAGCUUCCAAAGAGAAACACCAAUGAGAGAGCAUAGAUCGAUGAUCACUGAACCCGCAACCCUGGCAUGUGCUCUGCCAUCCAAAACCAUGACCUCCUGGUUCAUAGGUCGAUGCUCAACCACUGAGCCACACCAGCUGGGCUAUUCUCUUUUCUUUGUAACAUUCUGGUAGUGUUUAUGAUUUGCAAGUCUUAAGACUCUUGAAUAAAUCUUUGUCAUUUA